rnacentral:lncRNA from 1 species
GUCAGGGAGUCAGCAAGUACAUGAGUCACCUUGUCCCUGGCUGCCAGCCUAAGUGGACAUGCUGAGCUCUCGGGAAAGAGAGAAUGCGUAAUGGGAUCUGGGAGCCACUGAGUCAAGAUUGAGUCUGACUGAGGCAGCUACCUCUGUACACACUUCCACAUGUUUUUUUUUUUUUUUUUCCUGGAGAUGAACUCUCUUUGUUUGGAGACCCUUCCUGACUGACUACAGCUGGUCUCAAGCUGACCAUUACCCUCUGUGGAUUAUUACAGGAAAUGGGACAGGGUAAGGCAGGCAAGAAACCUCAAAGAAUUCUUGACUGCUUCUUGGAAUCCAAGUAAGUUGAGUUGAACACACUUCUUUUGAUCUUUCCAGGAUUAAUACCAGUCACUCAUCUUGAAAGAUCAAUAGUUAUUGGUUUUUUUUUUUUUUUUUUGAGUUCUCCAGGUCUGUGC